UGCGUAGGUGGCCAGGCAAGUCAGAAGUGAAAGCCCGGGGCUUAACUCCGGGACUGCUUUUGAAACUGUCAGGCUAGAGUGCAGGAGAGGUAAGCGGAAUUCCUAGUGUAGCGGUGAAAUGCGUAGAUAUUAGGAGGAACAUCAGUGGCGAAGGCGGCUUACUGGACUGAAACUGACACUGAGGCACGAAAGCGUGGGGAGCAAACA
rnacentral:rRNA from 1 species